rnacentral:lncRNA from 1 species
GCAAAAUUGAUGAUUUGAAAUUUAUUUGAACUACCAACAUCGUAUAGUUUUGCGCUUUAGUUACCCGAACAAUUAGUCGUUGAAUUCCGCUGCUUUACGAUGGCUUCAACACAUUACCACUCGCAAGCAGGAGCGGUCGAUUUCGAUGAAGGACAGAAUUAUUCGGGUUAGCACUUUUUAUAAUAUUUUAGACACUGUACAAAAGAAAACAAAAAUGUCGAAUCGUAACAAAAUGGGAAUACGGUUUUCAUAAGUAAAUGGAGUAUCCGUUUAUGUGUAUUUUUUCCCCUUCUUAUUUGAUGAAGCCACAUUAAAAGAAUUUACUAUAAUUUCUAGACAUUAUAACGUACCAAUUUCCCAGAAUUCAACAUCUCUACAUGUAGAUGGCACAAAUAAACAAAUACCCGUAAUACAUGUCUUGAGGGAUUUAUCUGUCAGACAAAACAACUCGAUUUAUAUAAUAGUUAAAGUAGAUGACGAUUUCCAACAGCGAGAUCAAACCUGGUGACAUAAUUUGGCACGCUCAUCGUUUAUUUAAACGCGACAAAACCCAUGCUGUGAGAACCGAUCCCAAUAAUAUCCUGAUAUAACCAUUAACUGUCGUUCAGUAAACCGUAAAAUUGUAUUAUGGUGUUUUAUACCAGAUUAAGUGUCACUCUUCGCAACAUUGUUAUGUUCUCUCGGUGACAAAAUGUCACUUACCGUGUCAAAACUAGGACCAUGAAAAAAAUGUUUGAUUUAUAUAAAAAAUGAAUUUAUUGUACAACUAUACAAAGGUUAAGUUUUCCUAUUUCAUAGUUAUAUAUUAAUAUAAGAAUAUCAUAGGACACCUGAAAGGCAGAGGGUCAACGUUAUAUAUUAGAGCACUAGUUCUUGAGAUUCAAUUUGUUGUGUACACAGCAACAUUAUUUUGGCUACCUUGGAAAGCCGAGAAAAAGAAAAAAACACCUGAAUGUCUUUAUUUUCACCCCAGAUCCCUUUACACCAUACACUAUGACUGAGACUUGAUUGGUUGUUUGUAAUUAGAACAACGACCCUAUUCUUUACACAUGUAAUUAUUAUAGAUCAUCAUUUUAUUGAUAAGUUGUCAAUACAAACGUACAAACAAACACCUUAUGAUUGAUGACAGAGAAAGAUUUAUGUCUCUCCGCUAUACCAUAUAAGUUGCAUAUCUUUCAAGACGGUUAUGGUUUUUCCAUCUAGCUUUAUACCUUGAAAACCUUAUGCUUACUGAAUCGUCUAAAUAAUAUAAGAAAAAAAUAUGCAUGAUUAACAAAGUGACGGCAUUGAUAUAGACUUACCUAUUGACGAUAUAGGAGGCGAACAUCUGAUAUUCAGUACGGCAGGAAAUAUUGAUAAAGAUACCUAAGUUACAAGCACUAAAGCAAAGGAACAUUGUGCAUGAUUUUAUUCUUCGGCCCAAAUCCAUAACUGUGCAACAUUACAAUGCACAAAGGCUUAACCGUGACUUUACUCCAAUGCCAGGACGGUCCUUGCACCAGAACACGCCUUUUCAUCAAGCAAUCUUUCAAGUUGGGUUUUUUAAAACCUAUAUUUCAGUUUUUGUUCUCAUCUCCUUCAUAUUUACCAACUUUCAGGUUUUAGUUACGAUAAUUGCAAUUCAAAAAUAUUAUCAAGGAAAAAAUAUAGUGGAGAAAAUUUCCGCGUUCCAGAUUUGUAACCCCAUGAACCUUAUGUUGUUAAUAUCUUUGUUAUUUUGUCUUUUAUGUGGAUUGUAGUUUCAUUGGUAAAUAUACCAUUAUACCAAAACAAAUAAAUACAAGGAACAUGGCUUUCCCGCGAACAAUAUACCGUGUACAUAGGCGGAUCCAGGGGGGGGGGCUGGGGGGCCCGGGCCCCCCCUUUCGUGGGAAAAAUUUGGUUGAUUAUAUAGGGAAUCAUUGAAGCAUGACUGGAGCGGGCCCCCUCUUAGGUCAGUCAGCGGGCCCCCCCCUUAGGAAAAGUUCUGGAUCCGCCACUGGUGAAUAACAAUAAUUUUUAAUUUGAACAAUACAGUAAAACUAAUUAUAUAACUGUCGCCACCUAUAAGAUAUUGCGCCAUUUUAUGACUUAUAUAUAACUGUCGUCGCCUAUAAGAUAUUGCACCAUUUUAUGACUUAUAUUUAUAUGCAUUUAACAUGUAAAUGUCGUUAUUUGAUUAGAAGACAGAUUUCUGUAAUAAAAUAUCGAUCUCAAGACUGAUUCAUCUAGCUGAAACUAAAUAAAGUAAUGAAACAGUCUAAUCACUGCAAACAUUUCUAGGGCAUUUAAUUUCUUUUAGAAUAAGAUACAAUUCAUGAAUAUCAUCAAUUGCAGGGUUCUAAAACAUUGUUUAACCCUGCCGCAAAUUUGCGACUGUCCCAAGUCAGUAGCCUCUGGCCUUUGUUAGUAUUGUCUGAUUUUUAAUUGUUGUUCAUUUAUAUAUUUUAAAGUUUAGUAUAACGUCUGUUUUCUGUCCGUUGGUCGAGUUGUCACGUGUCUCGCAGACACAUUCCUCAUUCCCAUUCUCAAUUUUAUUCACGGUUUAUUUAUUCUGUAGUCGAAACAAAGUUUACAACACAUGUUAUUGGUCAUCACUCAGUUCUAUAUUACAAAGUUUACAAAACAUGUUAUUGGUCAUCACUCAGUUCUAUAUUACAAAGUUUACAACACAUGUUAUUGGUCAUCACUCAGUUUCUAUAUUACAAAGUUUACAACACAUGUUAUUGUCAUCACUCAGUUCUAUAUUACAAAGUUUACAACACAUGUUAUUGGUCAUCACUCAGUUCUAUAUUACAAAGUUACAACACAUGUUAUUGUCAAUCAACACUCAGUUCUAUUUACAAAGUUUACAACACAUGUUAUUGGUCAUCACUCAGUUCUAUAUUACAAAGUUUACAACACAUGUUAUUGGUCAUCACUCAGUUCUAUUUUACAAAGUUUACAACACAUGUUAUUGGUCAUCACUCAGUUCUAUAUUACAAAGUUUACAACACAUGUUAUUGGUCAUCACUCAGUUCUAUAUUCAAAGUUUACAACACAUGUUAUUGUCAUCACUCAGUUCUAUUUUACAAAGUUUACAACACAUGUUAUUGGUCAUCACUUCUAGGUUCAUACAUCAUAGUCAUCACUCAGUUCUAUUUUACAAAGUUUACAACACAUGUUAUUGGUCAUCACUCAGUUCUAUAUUACAAAGUUUACAACACAUGUUAUUGGUCAUCACUCAGUUCUAUUUUACAAAGUUUACAACACAUGUUAUUUGGUCAUCAUCUCAGUUCUAUUUUACAAAGUUUACAACACAUGUUAUUGGUCAUCACUCAGUUCAACACAUAUAUUACAACAGUUUACAACACAUGUUAUUGGUCAUCACUCAGUUCUAUAUUACAAAGUUUACAACACAUGUUAUUGUCAUCACUCAGUUCUAUAUUACAAAGUUUACAACACAUGUUAUUGGUCAUCACUCAGUUCUAUAUUACAAAGUUUACAACACAUGUUAUAUUCACAAAGUUUACAACACAUGUUAUUUCAUCAGGUCAUCACUCAGUUCUAUUUUACAAAGUUUACAACACAUGUUAUUGGUCAUCACUCAGUUCUAUAUUACAAGUUUAGUUUACAACACAUGUUAUUGGUCAUCACUCAGUUCUAUAUUACAAACAUGUUUACAACACAUGUUAUUGGUCAUCACUCAGUUCUAUAUUACAAAGUUUACAACACAUGUUAUUGGUCAUCACUCAGUUCUAUAUUACAAAGUUUACAACACAUGUUAUUGGUCAUCACUCAGUUCUAUUUUUUCCAAAAUAUGCUUCAUAAAAAGUUUCUGCAUUCACACCGUCUGUUACUAUUUCACUUAAUGAAGGGGUUUGUAUACAAGUAUAAAUGUGGCGGGAAUUUGAAUAUACAUGUAUUUUUUGGUAAAUACUUAGCUUUUAAGCCAUUGUUUUUCACCUUUGGAAUUGCUAUCUAAUUUACAUACCUGACCUCUUUGAUGGAUUGAAAAGGAUCUCUUGAAAUUAUUAUUAUAUGGUUCACAAUAAAACUGACAUGUGCAAAAGUAUAUCUUUGAAAGAGAAAAUUGAUUGUUAUGCUCAACAGUAUCUGAAUCUGAAAAGACAAACUAUGGUCUGUUACGUAAGCUAAGAUACAAUAAAGACGUGAUGCGUUAUCGAAGAGAUUACAACUAGCUCUUUCUCUCAGUACGGCACAGUUCUGUGAUAAAGAAUUCAAUCUGACGAAAUAAUCAGUUUAUAGGCGUUUCUAAUGGAGCAUCAAUUUGUGAAGGAAUGCAAUAAAUUAACUAAAUUAAAAGCUGAUAAAUUUCAGUGAUAGUUUGUAAAGGUCUUUGAUUGACAUGUAAUUGGUCAGUUGUGGUCCUCGUCGUCUUUUGAUGGAGAUCACAGGUGUUCUUCAAUUUCCAUACCUGUUACACCUGUAAUCAAGUAAAGUGAGCUAUUUGUCUAUGUUAAACGCACACAGACGACAAUGCUUCUCAAAUCAACCUUUUUAUCUUUCUGUCAUUAAUAGUCCAAAUUUUGUGUGAAGAACAGUUAAGUCUGCAUUUAAUAUGUCGGAAUCGCAUCAAAUUAUCGUUCCUGUUCUCACACGUGAGACAAAUUUGGUUCCCAAGAUUACAAUUUGGUGUAUGGUGACAGGUUACUGAACAUGAAUGCGGUAAAUGUUUGAAAACAGACAAUCGAAUUCAUUCGACGUCUUCCGGCGUUCAUAAUCGACAAAAAAAACACACUAAAAUAUCAGAAGCCAGUCUCAUGUUACUCUCAUGGUGCGACUCUUUUAUAAAGAGUGCUCAACAGACAGUGUUUUGGAGGGAUUAUAUCUUUGUCAUGUUCAUUAAUUGGAUGGUUCUGCAAAUUUUGAUGAACUCAACAAGUAUGCUGCAAUGUAAAAUGACCAAAAGUCUUCAAAUUUGUAGCAACUGUUCGUUUUCAGAUCUAAUUCUUCAUUCUUUAUUCAGUUGUAAUACCACCAAAUCAUAUGACAUAGUACGUCACAUCCGGUUGCAUACGAAACAUACGAAACAGGGUAAACACUAAAAUUCCCUUGAAUUUGAAAGUUGCAGUUAAAAAAUUCCGUAUCAUAGACAUAUAUCUUGGGUGUUACAAAGCACCAUUUUUUUUCAGUUUAAUUUGUGUUUUUAUAUAAUAUUUUAGAAACUUGAGGUUACAUGGUUACUAAAGCUUGAACACAGGAAGAAAAAGAGUGAACAUAAGUCAUUUCCAGUGAUGCUUAUUUUCUUAUACCAGGGCCGCGUUCAAUAUCGUAGCUGCUACGUAGUGCUACGUAGAUUUUUACUAUUGAACGUGUAGCUAUAGACUAACUGCUACAUAAAUAUUGAUAGCAGCUACGUAGCUGCUACGAUAUUGAACUCAACCCAGGUAUGCAAUGAAACGUUCUAUGAAAUUUUUUCUAUAGUACUAGACAGGAUAAAACUACACUCAUGGAAAGUACUUCUUUAUGUUGAAACAAAGAUAAAGUGAGCAUAAUUUUUUGAAAGAGCAACUUUAACAAAGACUAACCUUUAUUUUACGAAAACACAACGACUAAACUUACUUGUUAUUACGGUAGGUAAGAAAAUAUGGAGUGGAAAGCUAAGAUAUCAAGGCAUGUAUAUAUACUUUGACACAAAUAAAUGAAAAAUAGAGACCUUGAACGAUACGUUCAUAUUUUGUUAUAAAGUUGUGUUUGAGAGAAAGGUAAACAUGACAUCAUACAGACUUUUGUUAUUUUCUCCUUUGAUAGGAGAUCUAUUCAGUCAGUUGUAACAAAUUUGAGGAGUUUGAUGCUAUCUUCGAUCGUUUCUUUUCAACAGAGAUAAUUUAUUGGGUAUUGAAGAACAAUUAGGGUUAAGGAUCAAGUAACUAGAAAGACACCUGUGAAACAUCUCGCCAUUGUUCUUCUUUAUACGUUUAUUUACAGAAAUUGUGCAACUAUGAAUCGGCUGUUUAAGCCGUUUCAAUUUCAGUUUUAGAAAGACACUUCAAUCAUUUGGGGUGAAAAUAAAAAUGUAUUUACUCCUAUUUAGUUUUUGAAAGAGCAAAAUAUUUUUCAAUAAAAAAUACUUUUGAUUUGUCAAGCCGAUCUGUAAUAUCAUUUUGGUAUGAGCCUAUGGGCACACCCACUUUCUUUAUUCACCUUCAUCGGUAAACGCUUUAUUACACUUGCUAGAUUUACCUUUUAGCUUACUGAAUUUACCCUCAUGCAAAACGCUCAAUCUGUCUUGAUUUACUUUUAUCGGGAACUCUUAACUUUGCUGGAUUUACUCUCAUCAGUAACGCAUUAACUUUGCUGGAUUUACUUUAGUCAGAAACGCUUAAACUUCCUGGAUUACUUUAAUAAGGAACGCCCAAACUUGUCGGAAUAACUUGAAACUUUAAUCGAAAAUGCCCAAACUUGCUAGAUUUACUUUCAUCAGGAACGCUCAAAAUUGCUGGAUUAAAAAAAACCGUUUUUGUUUGUUGUCAUUCUUACUUUAUGGAAAAGAAAAAUUUGGCUGACCCAGGACCGUUAAUUUUCAAAUUAACAUAAGACAAAUAGAUAAAAAUUAAUUACUUUCAAAAUUUAGGCCAAGUUGACCCGUGUUUUGUAUAACAACCCACUAUAUAAGAUGGCUAAAUCUCUUAUCCCUCUGUCAGAUGGUCAAAAAGUAAAUAUUUGCGCCUUUUAAAUGACAUAUUUACUAAUAGAUGUUGAUAACAAAAUCAUCCUUCGUUUUGAUAAACCUCCGUACCUAAAGUCUUUAACCAUGUCGUGUAGGUUGUACAAAUUACUGUUAGAAACCUUAAUUUGAUUAACUUGACCUUAUCUGCCAUAUGGCUUUAAUAAAUCAUGUGGAAAAUUAUUAAUAAUGUUAUUAUCAUUUUCAUUCAGUUCUGUCAUUGUCCUCCAAGAAAUUUAUUGUCAACAUAGAGAACUAAAGCAUAAAAAAUAAUAAACCGCUAAACACCUGUGUUCAUUAAUUUAUAAUAAACGUAUAAUGAUCUAUAAUGUAGAAUUAAGUGACAAAGACGUCGAUGAGGAGCAGAUAUAAAAACACAAGUAUAAUAUAUGAGACAAGAUAGUGAUACUAUGGACCAAUCCAAUUAUCAAUUAAAAUACAAAUCGAAUGAACCAUCAAUUUUAAAAAGAAGCUAUAAAUGUGUUUGUUAAUUUUGACAACAGCAAAUGCAUAUUAUUAAAAAAAAAUCUUCAUGGCUUAACAAAGGUCUCUUGGCGAGGUCUAUUAUUGCGACAAUGCAAACAUACGCCUUUAACGACUUUUCAUUCGAUUUAUAUACAUAUCACGAUGAUUUGGUAUACUUCAAUGAGACUCCAUUCAAACUAUUAAAACAACCGACUCUCGUGAACCAUCUAAAGAUCGGCUUCGACAACAAACAUUACAAAGACUUUGAGACGAAGAACAGAAAAACAGCGCUGUGUCCUUGAUUUUUGUUUGUUUUUGGAUGUGUUUUUAUUGAUUUUGUGUCAUGGAUGGGGUAAUCCUUUAUAGCUUUUUAAAUUUAUUUUUACAGGUAAGAGUUCUGGCCCCUUCCCCUGGUAACGUCAUCAGUCUUUGAGAAAAGAUGAAGAUACAAUUGAAUAACUAUAAGGAUCGGAGGUUUAAACUAAGAUAUUAAAGUUUCUUUCUCUCUCUUCGAAAUUCCCCCUAAUUUACUCUCCACACUAGACUUUUACUAUAUUUACGACUUAACCGACA